AACGUCCUUAUCGGGGGUUGAGCGGCAGUUCCGUGAUCGACAAGUGAGAAUUGCUCUGCUGACACCUGAAACUACAACACUAUGUCACCACUCUGAAAAGGGUUGGUGCAAUUUUUGGAAAA
rnacentral:ncRNA from 13 species